UACAGAGGGUGCGAGCGUUAAUCGGAAUUACUGGGCGUAAAGGGCGCGUAGGUUGUUGCGUAAGUGAGUUGUGAAAUCCCCGGGCUUAACCUGGGAAUGGCAAUUCAAACUGCGUGACUAGAGUACUGUAGAGGGUAGUGGAAUUUCCGGUGUAGCGGUGAAAUGCGUAGAGAUCGGAAGGAACAUCCGUGGCGAAGGCGGCUACCUGGACAGAUACUGACACUGAGGCGCGAGAGCGUGGGGAGCAAACAGG
rnacentral:rRNA from 1 species